AAGCAAGCUUUGGCUGGGGAAAGAGAUCUGAGAGGCUGCAAAACACUGAUAUGGCUGUCUAUCUCCCAAGCAGUCAAUGGCCAGGAGAAAGAGGAAAGAAUUCACAUUCAAGUCCACUGACUACGGGUGACUUCAUUCUGUAAUCGAGACACAUACCUGGUAGAACCAGAAGGAUGCCUUUGCGCAUCACAGCCUCCAGCCCAAACUCUGAGCAUCCGGACUUCCAGCAAGAAGCACUCAGGCCAGGUCUGGGUUCCUCCUGAGGAGAUCUAGCAGUUGUGCUGUGAAUGGAGCGCUCUGUGUUUCAUACCCUAAACAAGAGAAAGAAAACAAAACCUGAAGCCCAGGGAAAUGAAAGAUCUUGGCAGUAUUUCUACCACAAGAAAGCAGCUCUCCAGGACCCAGGCUUUCUCAGGGCAGCUACAGCAUUUGAUAUUACAGUGGAGAGAGACUAAAACUCAUAGCUGAUGCUAAAAAAAAUGUCACUGGAACUAAGACCACAUAUCCUGACACCCCUCGAACUUCAGCUGCCAUUGCCCCAUCUUCCCAUGGCAAUAGAAGCUGUAUGGAGCCUCCUGUGUAAACGCUGGUCUCAUCUUUUCAAAGUCUAAAAUUCUAAAUCUUAAGCUGUUUAAGAGCCUUGUCCUUUCAAGUUUAACAUUUAUUAAAGGAGUUGAAGGGGAGCAA